rnacentral:sRNA from 1 species
CAUCAUAACUGCAAGAACUACACGCUUCACUACCAAGCUUGUGUCAAUAGUAUCACCCUACCAUCCUGAACGGAGACGUUUGAGACUACGGGCCAGGCGGGAUACUAGUACAGGCCUUCACACGAGUAUUCUGCCAAACCACGACGACAUCUAGACUGACUCGGACGCUUUACUUCGUCAUUAACCGUCAAUCGUAAUCCCUCGGGCCGGUGGAAAAAUAAUACCAGGAUAACGCUGAUAGAUGCACAAUCUACAUUGCAUGAAUAAGGAACGAAUCUACAAGGGUCAUCCUCGUAAUUGCAUUUGCAAACUUGCCAGAAGCCUACUUUUGUGGAGACUUCAAUUCCUAAUCAUCUCGACCCUUUAUCCUCAUCCGCUUCCAUACGCCCACAACCUUUCAACUAAUAUUAUCAAUG